rnacentral:rRNA from 1 species
AUUGAACGCUGGCGGCAGGCCUAACACAUGCAAGUCGAGCGGGGUUUUCGGACCUAGCGGCGGAUGGGUGAGUAAUGCGUAGGAAGCUACCCGAUAGAGGGGGAUACCAGUUGGAAACGACUGUUAAUACCGCAUAAUGUCUACGGACCAAAGUGUGGGACCUUCGGGCCACAUGCUAUCGGAUGCGCCUACGUGGGAUUAGCGAGUUGGUGGGGUAAUGGCUCACCAAGGCGACGAUCCCUAGCUGGUUUGAGAGGAUGAUCAGCCACACUGGAACUGAGAAACGGUCCAGCCUCCUACGGGAGGCAGCAGUGGGGAAUAUUGGACAAUGGGCGCAAGCCUGAUCCAGCCAUGCCGCGUGUGUGAAGAAGGCCUUCGGGUUGUAAAGCACUUUCAGGAGGGAGGAAGAGUUGAGUGUUAAUAGUACUCAGCUUUGACGUUACCUACAGAAGAAGCACCGGCUAACUCUGUGCCAGCAGCCGCGGUAAAAC